CCUGGCGACAAUAGCGCGGCGGUCCCACCUGACCCCAUGCCGAACUCAGAAGUGNNAAACGUCGUAGCGCCGAUGGUAGUGUGGGGUCUCCCCAUGUGAGAGUAGGGAAUCGCCAGGC
rnacentral:rRNA from 1 species